UCCACAACACUAAGGACAUAUUGUGUAAACUACCAUGGAAAGUACAAUUCUAAAGAACGUCCUGAUACUUCUGUUUAUAUGUUUCAUGCAGUUGUCUGCUGAAAGGAAAGAUCUCUCUGCCAAAAUGUUCACCUUUCCAGUGGAGUCUGAUACAGCUCAUGUGAUCUUGGUUCCCAACCAGAGCAAGAGUCUGACUGCAGUGACCUUGUGUCUACGUUUCUUCUCAGACUUGACAAGAGCUCAGUCUCUCCUCUCUUUUGCCACCCUUGAGAGUCCAAAUAGCUUCCUCCUUUUCAAACAAGCGAACCAUGUGUAUGAAAUAAAUGAGUAUGACAAUGUUCUGUUAUUUAGGGGAUUGGAGGACAUUCCCAAUAAAUGGAAUUCUGUUUGUGCUACUUGGAAUUCUCAAACUGGUAUUGCCCAACUAUGGGUAAAUGGGAAACCAAGCACAAGAAAAGGGGUACGACGAGGAAAUAACAUCUCUGGAACACCCAGUAUUAUCUUGGGUCAAGAGCAGGACAGUUACGGGGGGAAGUUUGACAAAGCACAGUCUUUCGUGGGAAUGCUUACAGAUGUGCACAUGUGGGAUACAGUUCUUCCUUACCCUGAGAUUGCUUUAUACAUGAAUGGCAUUCCACAGAAGACUAGUGGCAACGUGAUCAACUGGAGCUCACUCGACUUCACCAUUAAGGAGUAUGUGCUUGUAGAGGACAUUGUGAGUGGUUUAAAUGAUUGAAACCGUGACAAAACUGCUUCACUUUGUCAAGAAAGACAAAUUUCAUCCUGUUUCCCUUUCAUUUGUCAUUACAAAUCUAAAUCAGUUAAUUAGUAGUCAUUUAAAAAGAUUUACAAAAUGGCUUUGGAGUGUUUCUUCUGUAAAGCAAUGGAAAAUAAAAAGAGCAAAACUAGACUAGUAACUUAAUUAUCAUUCAUACAGGAGGUAAACAUUUUCAUUUUUGCAUGACAUCAAAAAAAGUUCAAUGAAAAGACUUUCUCAGCAGGGACCCAGACAGAGGUGAGCACCUAUAACCUUAAAUGGAGAAUCAAGGCUGAACCCAGGCCAAGGGCCAUGUCUGGGAACUACAAAAAAGAGUAAAGCGGCUUUCACAGAGGAAGAGUCAUUGCUUUAAACCUGGUGGUAAUAUUUUUUCAGUUGUUCAUCCGCUCCGGGACCGUAAUCAUUAAUACAAACAGAGGAUGGAUAAAAUCCAUUAUGUCAUCAGUGGAUAUCUCUCUGGAAAACUUUUCACCUUCCCUGAGGUGUCUGAUGCAGCUUACGUGAACU